GCAUCAAGAAUUGAUCUUCAGGUUUCCAAAGAUUUGUUGUAAGGACCUCGAGGAGAAUAUAAGAUUUAUCUAAAAUGGCUGAGCAAACGAAGCAGGAAUUGCUAACCAAAUGAAGGAUGCGUCCAAAUAGUUUGUCUUUCAAGAACCAGUUAUUUGGAAACACGUGUAAGGAUAGGUACAUAGUUCUCUUUUUUUUUUUUUN
rnacentral:lncRNA from 1 species